rnacentral:rRNA from 1 species
ACUAUGUACCAGGGGGCUUUGGGGAGAAAAAUGAAAAAAAAAAAAAUAAAAAAUCUAAAAAAAAAAAAUAAUAAAACAAGUAUCUUCUUAAAAUACUCUUCUCAUUAUUUCAAAGAUACCAUACUCUCUUUAGUUUGACUUCUACCCUAGUGGCCAUUCCUUCUCCAACUCCUUCACAGGCUCAUCCUCACACUGACUUUCCCAAGAGGAGGUCCUAAGUCCUCUUCUCCCUCAGGAUCUCUCAUCUGUAACAUAACCUGGAUUUCACCUAUUGACAACUGACAAUAUGUUGACUCUCAAAUAUCUAUCUUUGGUUCUUGUUUCUCCAAGCUCUAAACCUAGGUGCAAAUUACCAUCAACAAGACCUGUCAGUUGUACUUUCUAUGUUAUCUCUCUCCUGCUACUACCAAAGUCCAAGCCUGCUAUGAUCUCUCUCUGGGACUACUGAAAAAGCUAAUUCCUUCCUGUUUCCCUCUGUAUACUUUUCCUCCUGUCUAAUUCAUUCACCAAAGGGGUAUCAUUUUAAAACAUAAGAAAAACCAUGCCAUGCCUUUGCUUAAAAUUUAAAAGUCUUCUAUGGCUUCCAUUACACUUUCAAAAUACCCAAAUUUCUCACCAAAGACUAGCAUGAUAUGGCACCUGCCCAGAUCUCCAACUUUACAUCAUGUGGCCCUUGCAUACUAUGGUUUAGCCAGUAACUAAAACCAGAAUGUAUGUCUCCAACAGGGGCAGCCCUGAGAGGUCUGACUGUUUAAACAAAGACCAAUAGCGGGUAUUGAUGUAAUGUGAUUUCUGUCCAGUGCUUUCUAUGUCAGAGAGAAAAACUCAAUGAAAGCAGGUAAAUGGCAGAGUAAUUAACUGUCUUAAGGUAGACAAAUGCCCCACCAUCUAAUUAGAGACAUGCAUGAACGAAUGAACAAGAUUCUCACUAUCCUAGUGAAACUACGGCUAAGGGGCAAUGAGUUUGAGAGAAUCAGCUUACAAAGACGACCCUGUUGAGCAUGACUCUAGUCUGUGACAGUGAAGAUACUGAGAAGUGUAGAAUAAGUGAGAGGCUCCCAGUGCCACUCACCUCCUUCUCACCUCUCCUGCACACCAUGGGGAGGCAGGGCUGGGUCUAGCACACCUGUCAAAAGCAUAGCACAAGUAUCCUAAGUCAAGCUGAGUAAACUCCAGUGAAACAGAAAGGAAAAAAAAAUCACUUUAUCUAGAUAUUCAGUAGAAAUACAGACCCUGAAAGCAGGGCCUCCCAACCUUCUAAUCUUUUUAGUUUCAAGCAGGAGGUGUCAGAAAAGUUACCAUACUGGCUUUGGGCGGCCAAGCAUUCAGAAAUCUCACUUUUUGGUCCUUGAUGUCACUUUCUGCUAUUCCUGUGAAGGAGAAUUCACCUAUCAUUGGAUGGUUCACUCACUAACAGAGCUGGGUUUAGAUCUUCACUCAACAUGAGCUGGGUUUAGACCUUCAUGAGACAGGUUGGUUUUACUCUAAUGAUGUUGGGUUGUUUCCUAUUAAUCCUGCUCAAUACAAGAGGAACUGUAGUUCAGACAACUGGUGCAUAAGCUUGCCUGAGGAGCAACUAAAUCAAAGCUAAGAUCGGUUUAGUUGUGACUGAACGCUUCUAAGAAUCCCAUCUAGGCAGGACAACACAGCAGCACACUGGCAUUUCAGAAUGGGUCAAAAAUUAAGACCCAACUAUACGUUGU